ACCAUGUCAACUAUUUGUGGGACACCAAGAUCUCCUUCUCACAUCUGUUCAUCAAAGGGUGGGACACAACGCGUGAGAUACAGGUGUAUCCCCCUGCUGACGGCCCCCUAGCAGUCUAUAAGAAGGCGUCAUUCUUUGAAUAUUUGGAUUAUGCAGUUACGACGUAUGCUCACAUCAGAGAGACAGCUAUUGGCACCUACACCUAUGAACACAAAAAUGGAACUGUAGUCCCUCCAGUUCUGUGUGUGUCGCACUACAAGAAAGGUGAAGCCUUUAUUGACAACAAACAUAUAUUCUGGAUAAUGAUGUCACCCAGUCAUGCAUAGAGAUCCCACCCUCAGAGGCCAAUGCGACUGACUGGUCCACAAAGGAGUUCAUGGAGAAGAACAACUUCACCUUCAACUUCGACCUGCUCCUCAACACAGACUUCACUUUCCAGCUGCGUACCAUCAAGCUCCGUGUCAAUCUGCCCUUUGACACCCCAGAAUGCUAUAGGCUAACUGG